UCUCGGUUGGUCUAGUGGUAAGGAUACCUGCUUGUCAUUCGCGGAGUCUAGCAUUCCACAGAACAAAAUCGCAGGUGGCCGGGGUUCGAUUCCCCGAUCGAGAG